rnacentral:tRNA from 1 species
GAGAGUAUAAUUCAGUGGUAGUGUGCGUGCUUAGCGUGCACAAGGUCCUGGGUUCAAUCCCCAGUACCCCCA